GAGAGAGGCUUGUAGCACCAGAGACUGCUAAUCCCUGCCCCCGCAGUUAGAUUCUGCGGCUCACUUGG
rnacentral:tRNA from 2 species